CAGACGACGCUGGCGGCGUGCUAACACAUGCAAGUCGAACGAUGAACCACUUCGGUGGGGAUUAGUGGCGAACGGGUGAGUAACACGUGGGCAAUCUGCCCUUCACUCUGGGACAAGCCCUGGAAACGGGGUCUAAUACCGGAUACGACACUCUCGGGCAUCCGAUGAGUGUGGAAAGCUCCGGCGGUGAAGGAUGAGCCCGCGGCCUAUCAGCUUGUUGGUGAGGUAACGGCUCACCAAGGCGACGACGGGUAGCCGGCCUGAGAGGGCGACCGGCCACACUGGGACUGAGACACGGCCCAGACUCCUACGGGAGGCAGCAGUGGGGAAUAUUGCACAAUGGGCGAAAGCCUGAUGCAGCGACGCCGCGUGAGGGAUGACGGCCUUCGGGUUGUAAACCUCUUUCAGCAGGGAAGAAGCGAAAGUGACGGUACCUGCAGAAGAAGCGCCGGCUAACUACGUGCCAGCAGCCGCGGUAAUACGUACGGCGCGAGCGUUGUCCGGAAUUAUUGGGCGUAAAGAGCUCGUAGGCGGUCUGUCGCGUCGGAUGUGAAAGCCCGGGGCUUAACCCCGGGUCUGCAUUCGAUACGGGCAGACUAGAGUGUGGUAGGGGAGAUCGGAAUUCCUGGUGUAGCGGUGAAAUGCGCAGAUAUCAGGAGGAACACCGGUGGCGAAGGCGGAUCUCUGGGCCAUUACUGACGCUGAGGAGCGAAAGC
rnacentral:rRNA from 1 species